rnacentral:rRNA from 1 species
GUAGGGGGCAAGCGUUAUCCGGAUUUACUGGGUGUAAAGGGAGCGCAGGCGGCAGCGCAAGUCUGAUGUGAAAGCCCGGGGCCCAACCGCGGGACUGCAUUGGAAACUGCGCAGCUGGAGUGCCGGAGGGGUAAGCGGAAUUCCUAGUGUAGCGGUGAAAUGCGUAGAUAUUAGGAGGAACACCAGUGGCGAAGGCGGCUUACUGGACGGCAACUGACGCUGAGGCUCGAAAGCGUGGGGAGCAAA